CACGUAGGGCGCAAGCGUUGUCCGGAAUUAUUGGGCGUAAAGAGCUCGUAGGCGGUCUGUUGCGUCCGCUGUGAAAACCCGGGGCUUAACCCUGGGCUGGCAGUGUAUACGGACAGACUAGAGGUAGGUAGGGGAGAAUGGAAUUCCCGGUGUAGCGGUGAAAUGCGCAGAUAUCGGGAGGAACACCGGUGGCGAAGGCGGUUCUCUGGGCCUUACCUGACGCUGAGGAGCGAAAGCGUGGGGAGCGAACAGG
rnacentral:rRNA from 1 species